UACGAAGGGUGCUAGCGUUGUUCGGAAUAACUGGGCGUAAAGCGUAUGGAGGCGGAUCUUUAAGUCAGCGGUGAAAGCCCAGGGCUCAACCCCGGCGUUGCCGUUGAUACUGGAGGGCUGGAGUCUGGGAGAGGCGAGUGGAAUUCCGGGUGUAGAGGUGAAAUUCGUAGAUAUUGGGAGGAACACCAGUGGCGAAGGCGGCUCACUGGGCCGAGACUGACGCUGAGAUGCGAAAGCGUGGGGAGCAAACAGG
rnacentral:rRNA from 1 species